rnacentral:lncRNA from 1 species
UACACGAAAAAGUCAAAAAAUAUUAGUUAGAGGUGAUAAUCUUUAAAGAAGUAAGUAAAGAUAUAACAAUUUAAACAACUUACUUUUGUGCAUAUGGAAAUGUGAAAGGGUUGUUGUUGACGGGUGGUAGGGACGGUAGUCUUGACCAACCCCAUGCUUGUAGCAAAACAGCACAUCCAGAAAAUGUAGAUGUGUCUUUGUGUGAGUUUUUGCACAAUGAGCUAUAGAGAUAGGCUAGACAAG